AAGGUGCCUGCUUCCACUUUGCCUUCUGCCAUGAUUGCAAGUUUCCUGAGGCCUCCCAGCCAUGCUUCCUGUUAAGCCUGUAAAACUGCCUUUAGAACUGGACUGGAAUUGUACUUUCCUGGGUCUCCAGCUUGCAGAUGGCAGAUUGUGGAACUUCUCAGCCUGCAUAAUCGUUCCCGCGCCUGCAUUCCAGAAACCUAGAAAUUCACAGAAGACUUGUCUGUG